rnacentral:rRNA from 1 species
AUUGAACGCUGGCGGCAUGCCUUACACAUGCAAGUCGAACGGCAGCACGGAGCUUGCUCUGGUGGCGAGUGGCGAACGGGUGAGUAAUAUAUCGGAACGUACCCAAGAGUGGGGGAUAACGUAGCGAAAGUUACGCUAAUACCGCAUACGAUCUAAGGAUGAAAGUGGGGGCUCGCAAGACCUCAUGCUCCUGGAGCGGCCGAUAUCUGAUUAGCUAGUUGGUGCGGUAAAGGCUCACCAAGGCAUCGAUCAGUAGCUGGUCUGAGAGGACGACACGCCACACUGGAACUGAGACACGGUCCAGACGCCUACGGGGGGCAGCAGUGGGGAAUUUUGGACAAUGGGGCAACCCUGAUCCAGCAAUGCCGCGUGAGUGGAGAAGGCCUUCGGGUUGUAAAGCUCUUUUGUCAGGGAAGAAACGGUGAAGGCUAAUAUCCUUUGCUAAUGACGGUACCUGAAGAAUAAGCACCGGCUAACUACGUGCCAGCCGCCGCGGUAACAC